rnacentral:rRNA from 1 species
GAAGCAGGUUAAUAUUCCUGCACCGUCGUAUGAUGCGAUGGGGGGACGGAUCGCGGAAGGUUGUCUAGCUGUUGGAAUAGCUAGUUUUUGACUCAUAGAAGGUACUUAGGCAAAUCCGGGUACGUAAUUCAAGGGGUCGAGACGAGUCGCCAUGUGCGACGAAGCAAUCGGAAGUGGUUCCAAGAAAAGCCUCUAAGCUUCAGUCAUACGAGACCGUACCGCAAACCGACACAGGUGGGCGGGUGUAAAAGCACCAAGGCGUUCGGGGGAACCCUCCAUAAGGAACUCGGCAAAAUGACCCCGUAACUGCGGGAGAAGGGGGGCCUCUGGAGGUGUAGGGCUUUACGUCUG